rnacentral:rRNA from 1 species
GACGAACGCUGGCGGCAGGCUUAACACAUGCAAGUCGAACGGGUGUAGCAAUACAUCAGUGGCAGACGGGUGAGUAACACGUGGGAACCUUCCUAGGGGUACGGAACAACUCAGGGAAACUUGAGCUAAUACCGUAUACGUCCGUGAGGAGAAAGAUUUAUCGCCCUUAGACGGGCCCGCGUCGGAUUAGCUAGUUGGUGGGGUAACGGCCUACCAAGGCGACGAUCCGUAGCUGAUCUUAGAGGAUGAUCAGCCACACUGGGACUGAGACACGGCCCAGACUCCUACGGGAAGCAGCAGUGGGGAAUCUUGGACAAUGGGCGCAAGCCUGAUCCAGCCAUGCCGCGUGAGCGAAGAAGGUCUUCGGAUUGUAAAGCUCUUUUGCCAGGGACGAUAAUGACGGUACCUGGAGAAUAAGCCCCGGCAAACUUCGUGCCAGCCGCCGCCGUAA